GCGCCUGUAGCUCAGCUGGAUAGAGCGCCGGGCUUCGAACCCGUAGGUCGGGGGUUCAAAUCCCUCCGGGCGCACCA
rnacentral:tRNA from 2 species